rnacentral:rRNA from 1 species
AAUAUUGCGCAAUGGGCGAAAGCCUGACGCAGCCACGCCGCGUGUGUGAUGAAGGCCCUCGGGUCGUAAAGCACUGUCGGGAGGAAAGAAGUUCUGACGGUACCUCCCAAGAAAGCACCGGCUAACUCCGUGCCAGCAGCCGCGGUAAUACGGAGGGUGCAAGCGUUGCUCGGAAUCACUGGGCGUAAAGCGUACGCAGGCGGCGCGUUAAGUCGGGUGUGAAAGCCCGGGGCUCAACCCCGGAAUUGCAUUCGAUACUGGCGUGCUGGAGUGCGGGAGAGGGAAGCGGAAUUCCUGGUGUAGAGGUGAAAUUCGUAGAUAUCAGGAGGAACAUCAGUGGCGAAAGCGGCUUCCUGGCCCGAUACUGACGCUCAUGUACGAAAGCGUGGGGAGCAAACAG